UGACUGUCAGGCCACCUUAAGCCACAGUACGGAAGAAGCUGUGCUGCCUGUGAGCCCCGUCCAAGGACGUUAAAAGAAGAAGUCAGGCCCCAAAGCCACGGUUUGAGCAAACCGUGCUGCCUGUAGCUCCGUCGUGGGGACGUAAAACCUGGGAGGCUGCAAACUGUGGAAGCUGUACGCACAGUGUAGCAGACUAGUGGUUAGAGGAGACCCCUCCCAUGACACAACGCAGCAGCGGGGCCCGAGCACUGAGGGAAGCUGUACCUCCUUGCAAAGGACUAGAGGUUAGAGGAGA
rnacentral:lncRNA from 1 species